rnacentral:rRNA from 1 species
AGUGAACGCUGGCGGUAGGCCUAACACAUGCAAGUCGAACGGCAGCACAGUAAGAGCUUGCUCUUACGGGUGGCGAGUGGCGGACGGGUGAGGAAUACAUCGGAAUCUACUUUUUCGUGGGGGAUAACGUAGGGAAACUUACGCUAAUACCGCAUAUGACCUUCGGGUGAAAGCAGGGGAUCUUCGGACCUUGUGCGAUUGAAUGAGCCGAUGUCGGAUUUGCUAGUUGGCGGGGUAAAGGCCCACCAAGGCGACGAUCCGUAGCUGGUCUGAGAGGAUGAUCAGCCACACUGGAACUGAGACACGGUCCAGACUCCUACGGGAGACAGCAGUGGGGAAUAUUGGACAAUGGGCGCAAGCCUAAUCCAACCGGACCGCGUGGGUGAAGAAGACCUUCGGGUUGUAGAGCCCUUUUGUUGGGAAAGAAAAGCAGCAGGUUAAUACCCCGCUGUUCUGACGGUACCCAAAGAAUAAGCACCGGCUAACUUCGUG